AGACGCUCAGCAAAUCUUCCUAGACUCACGGGGCGAAUUGUACAGUUGGGUAAAUCGAGGCCCAGAGAUGGCAAAAGGACCGUCCAAGGUCGUACAGCCACCCGGAAUUACAAUUCUUUUCUGCCGGGUCACACGCUGUCAUCCACGUGUUACCUAAGAGAGCUUUCCAGCCUGUGCUAAGAAAACUGCCCCACAUCAUCUGCAGUAGGACGGGGGAGUUGGAGCCCUGGUCAGGCCACUCUGCUACUGACCACAGUUUUCUCAUCUCUAAAAAGGCGCAGUAACAAUAUAAUUACCGUAUGCAGUCCCCCAGGAUACAGGGUCAAAGGAGAGCACAACCAUCGCAGUUGGAAGCCCAUGGGGCAGCCCAGUGCAGAUGCAUCUGACUUACGAAACUUCAGUGACACCUGCUCUGUGCCAGACACUGAAGAUGGAGCAGUGAACAGCACUGACCCAGCCUGUCCUCCUGUUGCCUGCAGGCCAGAAGCAAGGUCUCGCUGUGUUACCCUGGCUGGAGUGCAGUGGCUACUUACAGGCAUGAUCAUAGCAUACUGCAGCCUCGAACUCCUGGACUAGAGCAGUUCUCCUGCCUCAGCCUCCAGAGCAGCUGGGACUGCAGACACGCACCACAGAGCCCAGCCUGAGUCAUUUUGAUUCUGUAACUGGCUUCCUCUCGGCGGGCAGGCUCACACCCUCCACCCCCAGCUGGAGAUGGAAGGAGGAUGCUCACCGCCCAUUCCUCAUGCAGGCCAUCGAUGGAAAUGUCAGACAGUGCGAGUCCACGCCUGAACACUUCUGGGGUCCGCUCUGGGACUGACACUGGCAGAUCCAUCGGUGAGCUCCCGCCUGCCACCUCUGGGCCUGCAUUGCGGUGAUAGGGCCAAGGGCCUGGGCCUUCAAUUCUCCAGACUUGCCAAAAUGCUCAGCGCAGGCCUCGUCGGCAACUGCAGACAAGCAGAGGCAGCACCUGGGCUCUGCCUGUGCCUGGCACAGUGAAGCGAGGGUGGGGGCAGGAAUGAGGGUCCUCUCCAUGCAAGGGGGGAAGAUAGAAGAACAAAAUUUCACCCUAAUGUAGUGUCUUUAGACCGUGCAAUGUUGUGCUCCUGUUAGUCUGAUAUCAGGGGCUUGCAGCCUGGCAAAGGAAAAAAAACAGGCUGAGGCACAUGAUAGAAGACAGGCAGGGAUGCCACAAUCAUAACCAUGGCAAAGACCAGGAUCAGAAAGGCCCACCAUCUCUGACCCCAAAUCCCUGGGCAGAUGGUUCCAGAACUCAGAAUUUUCCCAGUUGUAGAAAGAUGGGGCCAGGUGCAGUGGCUCACGCCUGUAAUCCCAGCAUUUUGGGAGUACAAGGAUGGUCUCAAUCUCCUGACCUCGUCAUCCGCCCGUCUCGGCCUCCCAUAGUGCUGGGAUUACAGGCAUGAGCCACCACGCCCGGCUGUUUUAUUUCUUAUAACUGUACAGGAAUCUACAAUGAUUGUAACAAAAAUUUCAAUUAAGGCCACUCUAGGCACAUGGCCUGUGGGGUAGCCCUGCUCAACAAGAAGCCGUCAAAAAAAUGUUUUUUAAUUAAAAAAUUUCUUCAAUUAAAAA
ensembl:lncRNA LINC00963 long intergenic non-protein coding RNA 963